rnacentral:rRNA from 1 species
ACGCUCGACACCUACAGGAGGCAGCAGUGGGGAAUAUUGCACAAUGGGGGAAACCCUGAUGCAGCGACGCCGCGUGAAGGAUGAAGUAUUUCGGUAUGUAAACUUCUAUCAGCAGGGAAGAAAGUGACGGUACCUGACUAAGAAGCCCCGGCUAACUACGUGCCANCAGCCGCGGUAAUCUGAGCGGGCUGGCAAGGC